rnacentral:rRNA from 1 species
UACGUAGGGGGCAAGCGUUGUCCGGAAUCAUUGGGCGUAAAGAGCGUGUAGGCGGCUCGAUAAGUCCGCUGUGAAAGUCCAGGGCUCAACCCUGGAAGGCCGGUGGAAACUGUCGGGCUAGAGUCCGGAAGAGGAGAGUGGAAUUCCUGGUGUAGCGGUGAAAUGCGCAGAUAUCAGGAGGAACACCAAUUGCGAAGGCAGCUCGCUGGGACGUUACUGACGCUGAGACGCGAAAGCGUGGGGAGCAAAUAGG